CUGCUGUGACGUCUGCUCGUGUCUGUGCGGCUGACAGAAGACUGCUCUGCUGCACUGCUGCACUUCCUCUCGCUGCUCAAGAGCAGAAAAAUGCAACACUAAUGUCUGCUGUUUUACUUUUUAACUAACUAGGAGGAACAACACCGGUUUACUAAGCGCUCCAUCUUACACGAAGCUGUGAGGGAACGUGAGAAUGUCAAAGGGGCUGACAUUUAUCGGCACCACCCCCACCACCAACGCUUUUAAAAAACUUUUCUCAUCCCUGUUCAGGACCUUCGGCUGGAGACGCCGCUUUCUGGCUCUUCAACAGACGUGGAUGUUGUUGCCACAGAAACAGCACAGUGUUGACAUCACAGUGCUUCAAGUGGUCUGCUGUGGAGACCAAAAAGCCAAAGCCUGAUCACCACCUGACUCCUCGGAGGUUUGCGAGAAGCUGUUAGCCUCCAGCUCUGGACACAAGCUGAAACAUGCAUGAAACACAGAAGAAAAAAAGCACACACACACGCACACACACAUAUGCUUAUACCCUUGUGUUUUGGAGAGAAGAUAAUGACGUGAACUGGCGCAUGUGCUUGUGUCUGCUUAAUGGCUGCAUUGCUGAAACAACAUGGGAUGAACUUUGGUCUGUUGUAAACAUUUUACGGGUGUGUAAACAUGCAGUGUGGAAAUGUAUGAUGA